GUAAGGAAAACUUUUGAAUUUCUUUUGAGAGAAAAUUCAUUUGUGAUUCUUUUCAG
rnacentral:pre_miRNA from 1 species